rnacentral:tRNA from 1 species
AGCGGGGUGGAGCAGUCUGGUAGCUCGGUAGGCUCAUAACCUACAGGUCGCUGGUUCAAAUCCAGCCCCCGCAA